rnacentral:rRNA from 1 species
UGCCUACGGGACGCAGCAGUGGGGAAUAUUGCACAAUGGGGGAAACCCUGAUGCAGCGACGCCGCGUGGAGGAAGAAGGUCUUCGGAUUGUAAACUCCUGUCCUUGGGGACGAUAAUGACGGUACCCAAGGAGGAAGCACCGGCUAACUCCGUGCCAGCAGCCGCGGUAAUACGGAGGGUGCAAGCGUUACUCGGAAUCACUGGGCGUAAAGAGCGCGUAGGCGGGAUAGCAAGUCAGAUGUGAAAUCCUAUGGCUUAACCAUAGAACUGCAUUUGAAACUGUUAUUCUAGAGUAUGGGAGAGGG